UUUCUAUUCCUAUUGCCUGUUGCCUGGCAUUGUGUUUAGGCCCUUAAGCAUUGAGCUACUACGCACGGAUGUGACACAUUAAACUCACAAAAGACGGACUAUUGCACUAUUCGCAAGGAAACUACUGACAUCUAAUCAUCCAAAAGAAAUAAAAAUCCUUUAGCAUAAAAGUAAAAUAUAAAAUAAGACAUAAUAACAGAUCAUACAAAAAGUUAUAUUAUUAUAUUUAUCUUAGUAUAAGGUAGGGAAUAACUCAGGAUACCAUAUUAAAAACAAACUCGAUAUACAUAUAUUGCCUGUCUCACUAUCGUUGUGAACAUUAACAUGAGAAUGAAAUAUUCACUAUUACUUUUAUCAAUCAAAAGUACGCGGAAUGCAAGCGACGGAAAUGUACGCCUAAUUGUUACAAUACAUCUUAAUAAAUACAAGAGAAAUAUAUU